rnacentral:tRNA from 1 species
GAAUAUGAAGCGAUUUAUUGCAAUUAGUUUCGACCUAAUUUUAGGCAUCCCAUGCCCUUAUUCU